GGCUACCUGGCGCAAUGGUAGCGUGUCCGCCUACGAGAUCACGAUUGUUGAUUAGCUCAGCGGGAGGUUGCAGGUUCGAAACCUGCGGUGGUCA